AAAGUUAAAUCCAACAAUUUGAUUGAUUGCUUGUUUUGACACCCAAUGUGAUUAAAUAUACCACUCUACUGAUUCUAGGUGUUAAUCUAAGUGAGAACUGGCACAUAGAGUAAAGCUAAACAAGUGUUUAACCCGAAAAAGUAUUUAAUGCUAAGUGUAAAUGCUCAUACCCAAGUUCUGAGAAACAAGGAGCAUAUUGAUUCAGAGAAGAGCUGCCUAACCACCUAAUACUGCAAAAAGAUCUUCCACCAUUCCUUUCUUUCAGAGGUCUGAGAUAUGUGGAUCUGGGCUGGGUGUAAGCAUAAUUCAAGAAAAUGAUUUGAGGAAAAGAAAUCCGUUUCAUUACUGCAUCCCCUUUACAAUUCAGAUGACUGACUUUUUAUAGCUCCAGCAAAGCCUUUGCCUCAACAGUCUAAGUAAGAGUUGCCUCUGCGAGGGAGAGGAGUUCCUAACACCUGCUCAGCCCACACAGCACCACCAUGACCAGCUCCACCUGACUGCUGUGAAAGGCCCCUUUGAGCAGCUCCAAGAUCAGGUGCAGGAAGACCCUUGAUAAUACAAAUGUGCACCAGAGACCCUCUAGGUCAGAUGCUGGCAUUCUAGAAGGAAGCGUCCUCAAAUUCCUGCUCUGGCUCUCAUGCUGAAGUCUCUGGGAACGCCUUUAUGGGACCUUAGGAGGGUGUUUUCUGUGAAGAUGAACUUCCCAUUGCCUCCCUCUGGUAGGAAUGCAGAAGAUAAAUGUGGGAAUAAGGUAGGAAGGAAGCAAAGUAGAAGAGACAGAAGGAGGGAAAGCCUGUGCAUGACAACCACUACUCUUUUGACAAUUUAAUGUCCAGCUGUUCUGUCAUUCUACUGUGGUGAUGGCUCUUUUAAGGUACCAUGGCCGUUAACGUGUGCCUGUCUCUAUAUGUGUGUGUGUGUGUGUGUGUGUGUGUGUCCAGUUGUCCCACUCCUGUCCCAUCUGUCUCUAUAUAGGCAUACUUUGGAGGUAUUACUAGUUAGGUUCCAGACCGCAAGAAAGUGAAUAUCACAGUACAGCAAGUCAUGUAUUUUUUACAAUUUGUGAGCACAAAUAUAAGUUUUAUUUAAACUAUAGUGUAUUAAGUGUACAGUAGCAUUUUUUCUUUAAAAAGUUCAUACUGUAACUAAGAUGAUCUGAGCCUUCCGUGAGUUGUAAUCAUUUUGCUUGUGGAUGGUCUUGGCUAGAUACUGCUGACUGCUGACUGAUCAGGAUGGUGGUUGCUAAAAGUUGGGAUGGCUGUGGCAAUUUCUUUAAACAAGACAACAGUGUUGUUUGUUGCAUUGAUUGACUCUUCCUUUCAUGAACACUUUCUCUAUAGCACACAGUGCUCUUUGAUAGCAUUUUACCCACAAUAGAACUUCUUUCAAAAUUGGAGUCAAUCCUCUUAAACUCUGCUUUAGCAAGUAAUUUUAUAUAAUAUUCUAGAUCCUUUUGUCAUUUAAGUAGUCUUCACAGCAUCUUCACCAGGACUAGUUUCCAUCUCAAAAAACCAUUUUCAUUGUUCAUCCAUAAGUAGUAACUCCUCACACAUUAAAUGUUAUCAUGAAUUAUAGCAAAUCUUCAUCUUCACCUUCUACUUCUAAUACUAGUUCUUUUGCUAUUUCUACCACAUCUGCAGUUACUUCUUCCACUAAAGUCUUGAACCUCUCCAAACCAUCUGUGAGAGUUAGUAUCAAAUUCAGUCGUUUCUUCAUAUUUCAUUUUCUCUCAGGCAAUAUGUUUUCCUCCCCCUAAAGGCUGAGUUACUUCAAAAACAGGACAGUCAGUAUCUCCAACUUUCUCACUUUAUAUUUCUUCAUUCAGCUUUUAUAUUCCUAGCAAUAAGGUUUUACACCAUCUCAGUUUAAAUACUUUUCAAACUCCACAACACCCUGCAUAUCACAAAGUCAAAUGGGACUUUUUCUCUUAUUCAUUUGUUCUACUGACCAUUACUUUUCCCUGAAACUUAGCUCGAAAUCAUUCUCUCCCUACCUCUGUAUCAUCUUCUGGAUCCACUUUGUCCUCAAAUCAUUUUUUUGGUCUUUUGUCUUUUUAGGGCCAUGCCUGUGGCACACUGAGGUGCCCAGGCUAGGGGGCUAAUAGGAGCUGUAGCCUCCAGCCUACACUACAGCCAUUGCAAUGCCAGAUCUGAGCUAUGUCUGCAACCUACACCACAGCUCACAGCAACGCCAGAUCCUUAACCAACUGAGCAGGGCCAAGGAUCAAACCCACAACCUCAUGGUUUCUAGUCGGAUUCGUUUCCACCGCACCAUGGCAGGAACUCCUGUCCUCAAAUCUUAAGCUGCAGUUUCUGUUUCUUAGGCAUCUUUUCUCAGCCCUCUUUUCUUUUUAUUUUAUACUAUCUCCUUAAAAAAACAUGUACAUAAUUGUUCUUUUCAAAUAACUACUGAAGCUCAUGGAUAAACUAAACUCUUUAUCUUUAUCCCCAAACUAAUUUAUUUUAUAAUCUACCCUGAUUGCUUUUAUAGCACCAGGUUGUUGUUAUCUAAGGCUUACUUCAGGUUUCUUCUGCCCAGUCUGAAAAUUAAGCUUUGUUUUUUUCUUUUUUCAUUAGAAAUACUAAGAUAUAUAACCUGCAAAUAUUCAUGUUAUUUUAUUUGGAUCCUUUAAUCUCCUAACUACUCUCUCUGCCUUCAAACUUGAAUCUCACUCUCCAAUUCUCUAUGAGCAAUUCUUAUUUAACCACCUUUGUUAAAAUCUUAUGAUAUCCCCUCUAAUUUUGAACACAAAAAUAACAAAUUUUUCAGCUUAACAGUAAAGAGUACUCAUGAUUUGACUACAUUUUCAUUUUUAAUCUCCCUGUAAUCCUCCAUUCAAUACUGUAUUCAAGAAAAAAACUACAUGCACUCUCCUGAAUUUGUUGUUUCUAUCAUUUGUUUUUUAAAAAAUAUGCUGUUUCUUCUUUUGAAAGUGUCAUAAUUUCUAAUGCACUCCAGUAAAGUCCAAUGUAUCCUUCAAAAAGGAAAGAAAUUGGAGUUCCCAUUGUGGUUCAAUGGAAACGAACCCAACUAGUAUCCAGAGGACACAAAUUCAGUCCCUGGCCUUGCUCAGUGGGUUAAGGAUCUGGCAUUGCCAUGAGAUGUGGUGUGGGUCACAGAUGCAGCACGGAUCUAAUGUUGCUGUGGCUGUGGCAUAGACCAGCAGCUAUAGUUCUGAUUUGACCUCUAGCCUAGGAACCUCCAUAUGCUAUGGGUGCAGCUCUAAAAAGGACAAAAAAAAAAAAAAGAAAGAAAAAAAAAUGGUGAAAAGAAAGAAGUCAACUAUUUUCCUGAUUUAGUCUUCCAUAACUUCUUUACAUGGACUUAAUAAUUUCUUCCUUUAUAUGCCACUUAAUUUUCUUUUCAUUUUAUUAAUGUGAGUAUGGCACUCUCUUGCCUCCUUUAGUAACUGAUCUGUUCAGGGAUAGGAGUCUUAUUAAUAAGGGAAAAAAGAUUACUGUCUUCGUGUCUGUCAUACUAAGCUUUUGUCUGGAAUGCCAAAAGUUAUCAGCAAACCUCACCAGCCUCAGAAGGGCCCAACACUGAAAACACCUUAGUCUUGGACUUCUGGCCUCCAGAACUCUAACACAAUCAGUUUAUGUUAUUUAAGCCAUUCAGUUUGUGGUACUUUGUUAAGGCAACCCUAGCAAACUAAUAUAAAAAUCGGUAGUCUUUAUAUGCAAAAAUAAUAAGUUAGAUGUAUUUAUGGUAAAGAGAUCCCCAUUAAUAAUAGCAAUGAAUAUGAUUAAAUAAUGUAGGAAUAAAUUUAAGAAGUAAGGUUUAAAAUAUUUAUGA
rnacentral:lncRNA from 1 species